UACGAAGGGGGCUAGCGUUGUUCGGAAUCACUGGGCGUAAAGCGCAUGCAGGCGGAUUGUUAAGUCGGGGGUGAAAUCCCGAGGCUCAACCUCGGAACUGCCUUCGAUACUGGCAAUCUUGAGUCCGGGAGAGGUGAGUGGAACUGCGAGUGUAGAGGUGAAAUUCGUAGAUAUUCGCAAGAACACCGGUGGCGAAGGCGGUUCUCUGGGCCUUACCUGACGCUGAGGAGCGAAAGCGUGGGGAGCGAACAGG
rnacentral:rRNA from 1 species